AAUUGGAGGGCAAGUCUGGUGCCAGCAGCCGCGGUAAUUCCAGCUCCAAUAGCGUAUAUUAAAGUUGUUGCAGUUAAAAAGCUCGUAGUUGAAUUUCGGGAUCAAUAUUUCGGUCAUGCCGUUGGUAUGCACUGUUAUCAUUGAUUUCUCACCUUCUAAAGAACCGUAAUGCCAUUAAUUUGGUGUUACGGGGAAUUAGGACUGUUACCUUGAAAAAAUUAGAGUGUUUAAAGCAGGCUCACGCUUGAAUACAUUAGCAUGGAAUAAUGAAAUAGGACAUCCGAUUCUAUUUUGUUGGUUUCUAGGAUCGAUGUAAUGAUUAAUAGGGAUAGUUGGGGGCAUUAGUAUUCAAUUGUCAGAGGUGAAAUUCUUGGAUUUAUUGAAGACUAACUACUGCGAAAGCAUUUGCCAAGGAUGUUUUCAUUAAUCAAGAACGAAAGUUAGGGGAUCGAAGACGAUCAGAUACCGUCGUAGUCUUAACCAUAAAUUAUGCCGACUAGGGAUCGGAUGAUGUUAAUUUUUUAAUGACUCAUUCGGCGCCUUACGGGAAACCAAAGUGU
rnacentral:rRNA from 1 species